GAUGAACGCUGGCGGCGUGCUUAGCACAUGCAAGUCGAACGAAGCAUUUGUGACAGAUUUUUUCGGAAUGAAGUUGCUUAUGACUGAGUGGCGGACGGGUGAGUAACGCGUGGGUAACCUGCCUUGUACUGGGGGAUAGCAGCUGGAAACGGCUGGUAAUACCGCAUAAGCGCACAAUGUUGCAUGACAUGGUGUGAAAAACUCCGGUGGUAUAAGAUGGACCCGCGUCUGAUUAGCUAGUUGGUGAGAUAACAGCCCACCAAGGCGACGAUCAGUAGCCGACCUGAGAGGGUGACCGGCCACUUUGGGACUGAGACACGGCCCAGACUCCUACGGGAGGCAGCAGUGGGGAAUAUUGCACAAUGGAGGAAACUCUGAUGCAGCGACGCCGCGUGAGUGAAGAAGUAAUUCGUUAUGUAAAGCUCUAUCAGCAGGGAAGAUAGUGACGGUACCUGACUAAGAAGCGCCGGCUAAAUACGUG
rnacentral:rRNA from 1 species